UUUUUGCGUUAGGGAUGGAAGCGGAUACCGGCCCGUGCGUAAUGCCUGUAGGCGUAUGAGCGUACAGCCCGGGCCGCA
rnacentral:sRNA from 1 species